UACGUAGGCAGCGAGCGUUGUUCGGAAUUACUGGGCGUAAAGAGUGUGUAGGCGGUGCUCCAAGUCUGUUGUGAAAUCUCCCGGCUUAACUGGGAGGGUGCGGCGGAAACUAGAGUGCUAGAGGGUGGGAGAGGUAAGCGGAAUUCCUGGUGUAGCGGUGGAAUGCGUAGAUAUCAGGAGGAACACCUGUGGUGUAGACAGCUUACUGGACCACUUCUGACGCUGAGACACGAAAGCGUGGGUAGCAAACAGG
rnacentral:rRNA from 1 species